rnacentral:rRNA from 1 species
CCUGGUGAUUAUGGCGAAGUGGACCCACCCGUUCCCAUCCCGAACACGGAAGUGAAACGCUUUUGCGCUGACGAUACUGUAUUGGCAACGAUAUGGGACAAUAAGUAAUCGCCAGGU